rnacentral:misc_RNA from 1 species
GUAGUUAAUUUUGUUAAAAUGCAGUGACUAUAUAAUAAUUUUCCCUAUUAAUUUUCUAAAAUUAAAUACCAAAUGCAUAUUAUUAUUAUUUUUUUUUGGGAAGACCAAACUAGUCAAAACAAAUCGAGAUGCCUUUGGAAAGCAUAAAUUUAUAUUUUAAUUCUAAAAAGGACAAGUCCAAAGACAAUAAGAGAAGUGUCGAUGAAGGUUCUUCUCAAAAAUCCAUAUAAAGAGUAUAUUUGACGGAAAAGAAGGGUAGGACCUAAUCCAUGUAUAUAUAUAUGUGAGUGUGUG